UAUGUAGGCCUACUGUUUCUCUCUCCUCCAGAUCACUAAUAACUAUGGCGGCAGCUGUGCUGACCUUCACUCGGACAACUAUAUGAACAACUGUGGAUACAGCGCCGCCUUCAAUCUUCUCAACCAUAUCUACGGCGGACACCUCAAGGAACCCGCUGCCAAUUCUGUUGCUACAGGACAGUUACUUACCUUUGAUCAAAGCGCGUUCACUUCAUACUUGGCCCAUAUGGACACUAUUGGCUACGUCUACAUCCCCACUGGCUGUAAGGACAGAACGAAAGGUAAGUAGA
rnacentral:sRNA from 1 species